CUAAUUAUGUGGCAGGGGGAAUUCCUUGAUCACGAAGGUGGUUUUCCCAGGGUGAGGCUUGUCCGUUGCCCUGGGGAUACGCUGGCCCCUGCAUUUUCCCCAAAUGUGUGGAACUUGACUGCGUAAUUUAGUAGUAGGGGACUGCAUUCUUGCUCUACCCUG